UAGCGUAGGGUGCAAGCGUUAAUCGGAAUUACUGGGCGUAAAGCGUGCGCAGGCGGUUAUGUAAGACAGGUGUGAAAUCCCCGGGCUUAACCUGGGAACUGCAUUUGUGACUGCAUAGCUAGAGUACGGUAGAGGGGGAUGGAAUUCCGCGUGUAGCAGUGAAAUGCGUAGAUAUGCGGAGGAACACCGAUGGCGAAGGCAAUCCCCUGGACCUGUACUGACGCUCAUGCACGAAAGGCGUGGGGAGCAAACAGG
rnacentral:rRNA from 1 species